CAGAAGACAGGCACAUAGAUAUCUGCAACAAAUCCAAUCCCACUAUCACCGGUUUGCUUUGUAUGUCGGUGAGUAAGUGCCACUGACAUACACGGGGCUGCCUCUGUCCAUAUCCAUGUGGAUGCUCUCUGCAUGUGUCCAAGCAUCCACUUAUACUGGUCUCAGGCCCACAGAAGGCUGCACAUCUAAGCCGAACCGGUUGGAGAGGGUUGUGCUGAAAUUUUUGUUGGUGACAAUGGGACCUGAGAAAGCUGCAUCCUGCUUGACUGACAAGGUAGAAGGUUGCUGAUGGUCGGGCUUGGUUCCAUCCCCAGGACUGAGGCAAACCAAAGGUAGCUCUGUGUCUACUUCUACUGUUCAUCCAUAGGAUGCCUCACCAUUUAUAGAGAUGUGGAGAGAGACGCCCCCCAUACACAACACAGGGGCUCCAGAAGGCCUUCCUAUACUGAAGAACACCCUUGCUCCUGGCCUUCCCACCUUAAACCUCACGAUGCCCAAUACUGGGACGGUGGCAUCGUGUAUUCCAAGAGAUCCCAUCUAGAGGUUGCUCUGUUUUGAGCUGUUCUUAUCUGUCCAAUCAUGCAGUCUCAAUACCCAGCCCAUCUCUUAAUGACAA